AGAGGAAGUAAAAGUCGUAACAAGGUUUCCGUAGGUGAACCUGCGGAAGGAUCAUUACAGUAGUCGCCCGGGUUGCCGCAAGGCCUCCCGGGUAACCUACCACCCUUUGUUUAUCACACUUUGUUGCUUUGGCAGGCCUGCCCUCGGGCUGCUGGCUCCGGCCGGCGAGCGCCUGCCAGAGGACCUAAACUCUGUUUGUCUAUACUGUCUGAGUACUAUAUAAUAGUUAAAACUUUCAACAACGGAUCUCUUGGUUCUGGCAUCGAUGAAGAACGCAGCGAAAUGCGAUAAGUAAUGUGAAUUGCAGAAUUCAGUGAAUCAUCGAAUCUUUGAACGCACAUUGCGCCCCCUGGUAUUCCGGGGGGCAUGCCUGUCCGAGCGUCAUUACAACCCUCAAGCUCAGCUUGGUGUUGGGCCCCGCCGCCCCGGCGGGCCCUAAAGUCAGUGGCGGUGCCGUCCGGCUCCGAGCGUAGUAAUUCUUCUCGCUCUGGAGGCCCGGUCGCGUGCCCGCCAGCAACCCCCAAUUUUUUUCAGGUUGACCUCGGAUCAGGUAGGGAUACCCGCUGAACUUAAGCAUA
rnacentral:rRNA from 1 species